rnacentral:miRNA from 1 species
CUGGACUUUGAUCUUGCCAUAA